rnacentral:rRNA from 1 species
UAGGGAAUAUUGCACAAUGGGGGAAACCCUGAUGCAGCAACGCCGCGUGAGUGACGAAGGCCUUCGGGUUGUAAAGCUCUGUUGUACGGGAAGAAAAAAAUGACGGUACCGUAUAAGAAAGGACCGGCCAACUUCGUGCCAGCAGCCGCGGUAAGACGAGGGGUCCUAGCGUUGUUCGGAAUUACUGGGCGUAAAGCGCAUGUAGGCGGCUUAGUAAGUCAGAUGUGAAAUCCCUGGGCUCAACCCAGGACGUGCAUCUGAUACUGCUGAGCUUGAGUAUGGGAGAGGGUAGUAGAAUUCCUGGUGUAGUGGUGAAAUACGUAGAUAUCAGGAGGAAUACCGGUGGCGAAGGCGGCUACCUGGCCCAAUACUGACGUUGAGAUGCGAAAGCGUGGGGAUCAAACAGG